GAGACUCCAUCUCAAAAAAAAAAAAAAAAAAAAAGAGUAACCCAAUAGCCGUCUUCCUGCCUCCCAGCACUGCCCCCGACUCUGCCCCCGCCCCCCGUCCCGGCACCACUCCCGCUCCAAGCUCCAAGCCUUGCCUCCCUUCUCCUGGGCUUUCACCUUCCAGAUUAGGGGUGGGGUUAUCACUGUUAUCACCCCCUCUCCCAGAUAAGGAAAUUGACACCCAGAGAGGGAAAUGUGGGCGUCAAUUCGAGAUGUGGAGGCUGCCCUGAACAGUCCCGCCCAGAAUGUGCAUGAGUGAAUGGAACCUGACCCCCGACUCAUACGAGAGAAGAUGAGGAAACUGAGGCCCAGAGGUUAAUUCCCAGCUGAGAAGGCUGGGGACAGCUUCCUGGAAGAACUGGUGCUUUUAGAAUGACCUGGCAGGCAGCUGACCUUGGGGACUGGUUGGCCUCUGGCUCACAGGGUGCUUGUCUCUGACCUUGACGAAGGCCCCCUCCACCACUUGGGCUCUUAACAGGAAGAACUGUCCCCGCCCAGCGUACCUCCCGGGGGGACUGCUUGAAUGAACACAGGUCAGGAAGUGGAAUGCCCUUGCCAAGGCUGCAGGGGCACCUAAAGCCGGAGAGAUGACUAUUAACCCUCUUCACCCACUCCUUCCUUUGAGCCUUCCUUCACCACAUGUGUAUUGCGCUCACCUGUGUUCCUAGGGGCACAACAGUGAACAGCACAGAGGUGGUUCCUGCCCGCCCGAGAGGCAAACAAAAACACCCAGAGAAUUAC